AUGAGGCAGUUGCAUCAAGCGCAUGAUUUACCAUGGCUCCUGGUGGGUGAUCUAAAUGAGAUUAUGUACUUACAUGAGAAGGAGGGGGGCAACCCACGACCACCCCAAUAUAUGCAAGCGUUCCAGGAUGUUGUUGAAGAAUGUGCCUUGCACGAUCUUGGCUACAUUGGUGACCAAUACACUUGGCGUCGAGGAAGAAUACGCGAAAGGCUCGAUAGAGGAUUGGUAAAUGAUCAGUGGACCUCCCAAUUCCCCAAGGCGGCAUUGCGGAAUCUGGAGUUUAAUCACUCGGAUCAUAGACCCCUUCUGGUAGACACUGAUUUCUAUGUACAUGCACUAGGAGGUCCGAAUACACAUGUUAAAAGAUUUGAAGCUAGAUGA
rnacentral:rRNA from 1 species